rnacentral:lncRNA from 1 species
AUAUCAUAGAUCUUAGAGUAGAUUGAUUUGAUGAUUAGAUCAUAUGUAUAUUAGAUUAAUAUGAUUAAUCUAGUUGCCUUCCAUUAUAUUUUAUUUCAAAAAUUUUUGAAAUAUAUGCAUAAAAUCGUCUAUAUUUUCCAACAAGCAAAAAAUCAAAGCACACCACAAACAUAAGCAAUUUAUAGUGGUUCAGUAUAACCCCGC